rnacentral:ncRNA from 1 species
CCUCCUGAAUCCAUCGGGCCUCAUAGAGGAAACUUUAUGAGUGAAUGUGGUCAAAUUCAAGGAAGCCUAAGUCUAUUAAGAGAUAAGGUAAUCUUGAGCCAAGCUCUAUUUCCCCGAUAGAGAAGGUGCAGAGACUGGUUGUAGGUGAAAAGGGGAACAUCAAAAACUUUAUUCAACCGUGCCUACAACAUAACGGCCACCACCUAAGGGUAAAUGCCUAGGGUGAAGGAAUAGUCCAGAGAGUGGGGAAACUCACAC